rnacentral:rRNA from 1 species
GAUGAACGCUGGCGGCGCGCCUAACACAUGCAAGUCGAACGGUUAAAGCACCUUUUAGGUGUGUAUAAAGUGGCGAACGGCUGAGUAACACGUGGGCAACCUGCCCUCCUCUUGGGGAUAGCCUCGGGAAACCGAGGAUAAUACCCGAUACUUCAAUGUGGCCGCAUGACGACAUUGAGAAAGCUUUUGCGGAGAAGGAUGGGCCCGCGGCCUGUUAGCUUGUUGGUGGGGUAGAGGCCUACCAAGGCAAUGAUGGGUAGCUGGGUUGAGAGACCGACCAGCCAGAUUGGGACUGAGACACGGCCCAGACUCCUACGGGAGGCAGCAGUGGGGAAUCUUGCACAAUGGGCGAAAGCCUGAUGCAGCGGCGCCGCGUGCGGGACGAAGGCCUUCGGGUUGUAAACCGCUUUCAGCAGGGACGAGGCGAAAGUGACGGUACCUGCAGAAGAAGCCCCGGCUAACUACGUGCCAGCAGCCGCGGUAAUACGUAGGGGGCAAGCGUUAUCCGGAUUCAUUGGGCGUAAAGCGCUCGUAGGCGGUCUGUUAGGUCGGGAGUUAAAUCCGGAGGCUCAACCUCCGCCCGCUCCCGAUACCGGCAGACUUGAGUUUGGUAGGGGAAGGUGGAAUUCCUAGUGUAGCGGUGGAAUGCGCAGAUAUUAGGAAGAACACCAGUGGCGAAGGCGGCCUUCUGGGCCAUAACUGACGCUGAGGAGCGAAGCUAGGGGAGCAAACACG